AAAAGCACAACAGUUUUGUUUUUUUUUAAAUGUAACAGGGAAGAUGUACAUUAGUGUAGGUGUCAUUCAGCACUCACUGAUUGUGUGUUACCGACGUGAAGUCUGUGAUUUUGUAUAAGCUAUGCAGAGUGAGCCUAGGGGUGGGAUUCCGGAGAACCGGGGGACCAGGCCGAGUCCCUCCCUCAGCCUAACCAGAUCAUUCUAGACAACUGGGUCAGUACAUUUAGACUAAUGCAAGCACUUACCUGCUUUCUUCCCUUCCUGGACCACAUGGUUUUAGAACAGGACUAUCCUACUGUCAUAGCUUUGGUUUGUAAGCCAAGAAAUUCUUGUUAUUUAUUUCUAACUUCAUAAUAGCAACCGUUGCCUAAACGUGUCGCAGAAUAUUUGAAAACUCCUGAUUAACUUUUUUUAGGGUGGGCAUUAGAUACCUUUUGUGCAUGACAUACAUCAAAGCCUCAUGUAUGGAAUCGAUUAACACGCAACAUAAAUGAAAUGUUCCUGCUGCCUUCCAUGGGAUGAGGCAACACUUAAAAUCUGAACCUAAAAUUUAGGUGGUUUGUAUAAAAGUCUAAAAGCAGUAUUUGCUAUUUUGUUAAAAGCUGGAAGCAAUUCAGAUACUUUGAGACUCUUACUGACCUUGUGGUACUGUGUCUUUCCGAAAACUGAAUGUAGUCCAUAAGGAGACAGGUCUUCUGUGUUCAGAGAAGUUUUGUAAACUUUUUAGAGUUCUGGUGCUUCUGUACUAACUCACACACAUCCAGCUUAUAUGUUUUAGCUUUUUUUUUUUUAAAAAGAUCUAGGGAUUAGAAAAUAAAUAUUGCAGGGUUUUGUUUUUUAAUACUGAAUAUAAGUACUCUUGGUUUGGCAUUGUGAAUUUUUUCUUUUUUGUAUUUGACAAAGCAAUAUAUCUGCAGAACAUACCAUGAAAUCCUUCCAGUUCGUUUUUUUUUUUUUUAGUCUUAACAUGUAAAAAAUUAAGUUUUUGCCAUUCAACACAGUAAUAUCAUGUCCUCUGGAUAUAUUUGAACAUGUAUAGACGUUAAGUUGCUUGACAACAGGCUAGCCCUUUGGGAGAUGGGUUUUCCAUUUGUAUAAACUGUUGGGAGGGAUAAGACUGGUGCUCUAACUGCUGUGGCUGCCGUGGGUUUUGCCUGGAUUCUGUCUUGUAUUGGCUGCACCGGCUGAACUCUGGAAGCAAUAACCGACUGUUUUCCGUUCACAUCAGCCUUAGAAGUGGAACAGUGCUCAUUUAAUGUUGAGAAUGAAUUCUCUUUAUUAAAAUCGAAACUCUUUAACACUGA
rnacentral:lncRNA from 1 species